rnacentral:sRNA from 1 species
AGUAAAUCAUACCUUUGCUCACUUGAUUUGAAUGAAGAUUCUUGUCUACCAACAGUUUUAGGAAAUAGAUGGAAUUUAUGUAGCAUCACCACUUCACGGUAAAACAGAAGAAAAACAAAGACGAUGUUUCUGCAGUUGUGAUGCAGACCCUUGAAAUGUGCCUGGAGAGAAUGCCCAACUGGGAAAUCAGUUUUCAUUCGGGACUACAUAGGAGUGUAACAGAGGACAAGCAUCAUGGCUCAAGAAGCAGGGAGGAAAGUUGAACCUGGGGAAUGCUGACCAGGCAUGAACAUUCUUACAUGUUCACCAUAGGAAAAAGGUGUGAGCACAUGGUGGGAGGCUGUUCUAUCCAGGAAAGACUGGAUUCCACCCAACUGUGACAAAGGUCACCAGUCUCUUCAGAAGAUCAUGCAAUUUUGCAGGCAGUGAUAGCUGGCGAUCUUAUGAAGCUAAUAGAAAGCUAUAAAAAUGGAGGCAGUCUGCUAAUUCAGGGACCAGACCACUGUUCACUCCUUCACUACGCAGCUAAAACCGGCAACGGGGAGAUUGUGAAAUAUAUCCUUGACCACGGACCUUCCGAGUUAUUGGAUAUGGCAGACAGUGAAACGGGUGAGACUGCACUGCACAAGGCUGCCUGCCAGCGGAACCGGGCUGUGUGCCAGCUUCUGGUGGAUGCAGGAGCAUCUCUGAGAAAGACGGACUCCAAGGGUAAGACACCUCAAGAAAGAGCACAGCAGGCUGGGGACCCAGACUUGGCUGCUUACCUAGAAAGCCGUCAGAACUAUAAGGUCAUUGGCCAUGAGGACCUGGAAACUGCUGUUUGACCCUGGUAUUCGGGCAAAGAGAAUGUGAGCAAGCGUAUCACAUCUGCCCUCCCUGUGAUUGGGCAGCUCCCGUGGAAGAAGCUGAUGGAAUUCAUAUAUCUGUCUCUCUCCUGCAAGAAUCUACCUGAGACCAUGCCACUAGCUUUUAAGGGCUACCAAGAUGUACAACAGAACAUGAUAGCCCAUUGAGAAGGAGGCAGGAUACCUGGAGAUUUGUGGAAUACAGUACGAGUUCCACAAAAUUUGAUCCUUAUUGCUUCCAGCAAGUAGCAUGAACUUCUGUGUUCACCUGUAUAAUUUAUUUUAAAGAUUCAAAGGAUGUUCGUAUAAAUGGCACUGCUCCAUCCUCCCCCUAUGCAUUGAUUUUUUUCCCUGUACCAUACAAUUCUACUGUAACUACCCAUCAACUUAAAAAAGAAUAUUAUCUCUUCUCUUUACGUUCAGUCUUGGAAGACCACAAGAUUGUCUGAAGGCCUUCUAAAACCCUCUGAAUGUCCUGCAGAAAUAUAACUGUAAAAUCACUUCCAUUUCUAAGACUAAAUAUAUCAAGACUAUUUAGUGACUCUCUCUGCAUGUCCCUCCCACCCCCCCAACCCUCCGUUUCAUUAUAUAGGAGCUGGGAAGUGCCACGUGGAUAAUGUCAACUUGUGUGCUAUAUCUCUGAGGAAUGGUGAGGUGGCAUGGGAGAUGUCUGUGCUUGGAGGUACCUCAGAGAGGUAACCCAGGGGUCAGCCCAGGCUGCUGGGCUGUAGCCAAUAGCCAUGCAGGACUGGUUCAGCUUGGGCUGUCUGUACAGCUCCGUACUGCCUAUGUGUAGCCAUCUUUGCCUUUUGCUGCAAUAGAAGAUGAGCAAAGGAUUAAACAGAGGCCCACAGCUAGUUUGCAGAACCACUCAAUUUUAAGUGCUGUUUAAAUUGCAGAGCAAAUAAUCCUGUGUGGGAACUGUGGUUACAGGAAAUGGAGCACUCUAACAAUGUUUACUUCCAAACUUCGUUGAAUGAUAAUAGAAAGCACCCUAAUUGACUUGAAAAAAAAAAAAAAAAAACAGCAAAAGCAAAAGUAGCAACAUAUGUCAACAUAUGUCACUGAAGUAGGAAACAGUCGUUGGAAUGUUGCACAGAGGCUAAUAACUAUAGACUGUUGGAUACAGUGGUGAGAGGAGCCCCAUUUUAGGUCUUUCUUUUAGGUUUUUGGUUUUCAUUACUCCAAGUAAUCCUUGACCCAAGAACAAAGGCUUGUUGUAUGAGUUCCACUGCCAGAUUUAUGGGAUGCCCGGAUCAUUCAGAAGGAUGCUUCAACUAUUAUUUGUGAGGUCCAAAGGUUGUACUUGAUAACCCCAUUUUCUAUGUAUGGGAUAGUCUAAUAUAUUAUUUUAUCUACUUUAUUUUCCCUUUUCAGAAAGUCCUUAGUGCAAACCACCAUGGGAAUCUAGCCAGAAAUGUCUGUUGGAUAGUUAGAAUUGUAACAUCUAAACCUGCCACGGAUCGAAUGGUACUUACAGGUACCUCUCUUAGGGACUCUGUGAGACCUAAAAUAUCAGAAGAAAAUGUCCGUCUUUCUGUCCAAAUAUCUACUUGACUUGGGAGUAAGUCAAAAAUAAAAGUGGGUGUCCAAGGAUUUUGCUUUUGGCGAAAUCUGACGUCUCCUGAGCUUAUUUUCAUUUUGUCCUUAGACACAGCAUAGUGCUUCCCUAAUGUUUCUACAUAUGACCAUGGAUGAUAGUGUCUCUGCAUUUAAUUUAAAAGUCUAAUGGUGACAUUUUGCUUAUCUGAGUCACAUUUCAGUAACAUAUCAUCAUUUUGAAAGUGCGGCUAUGAUGUACUAUAUUAAAUAGGAACAGCCUUUCAGUGGAUGGGGAUUUUAUUACCACAGUCUCUCCAUAGUCAUUUCAAAAUCAAAUUGUUGGUGGGAGGAUGGAUUGAAUUGUGAGUAAUCUACUUCCAUAUAUCAGCCUCAGAAAUGGAACUAUCCUUUGGAUAUUACAGGAGACACUGCAGCAGAUUGUUUCCAGAAGCUGGAAAAAUAUGCUCCCGGAGAAUUUAAUCACUGGGCUUUUGCUGGGGGAUUUUUAGUUGGUGGGACUGUCAAGGAAAUGUGAUGACAGAAAUGUAAUCCUUAACACAAACUGGAAUCUGGUUUUGAAUGGCAUCUUCCAUGCCCUGGAUUGAGCCAAAUGUUUGGCCAAGCCGUCAGUUAUCUAGCUGUUACUGUUGGGAUGAAGAACUCUGUUUUCAUCAACUACCAUCUCACAUUUCCCUGUAAAUACUUCCAAGUAGCCCAGAGAAAAUUUAGGGUAAAGGUGGCUAUGGGCCAAUUUCUAAAUAGCUCCAAUUGAAGACAUAAAUCUGUGUUAUGAAAAAUGAUGAGUUGGUACUAUAAGAUUCCUGAUGCAUUUGGAAAUUGUUUCAAACC